rnacentral:lncRNA from 1 species
CCAUCCAAUACAGUAAGUAAAUAUUUAGCAAAAUCAUAUUUUGGAGAGCCUGUACAAUAUGAGCCCUCUUUAGUACAUGAACAGAAUUAUAAAGGGUGUUGAUAGUUUGUAUUCCAUUUAGCUUUAUGCUAGCGUACAGUAGGUCCAGAUACGGAACAGAACCAAUUGUGAAUUCAGAGUAAAGAACGAUUAGUACCACUGUGAUUUUGCUGCAUGGUGCUCCUAUGAAGUUAACAGACCACCCUUAUACGUUCCAUAUAUUUAUUCAAGUUAUUUUCUUCACAAUUCCACAGUUAGUCAAAAUAAAACUAAAGAAAUAUUGCAUGUACUAAAGAGGCUACUGGUUGGAGAGCUAGUUGAUGUAACUAAUGAGAUACGAAAUUGUUUCACAUUUCAUCUGAGGUACUGAUUUAUUUUAAAUUCAGUUAGUUGCAGACAGAAAAACACCACUCACAUUCAGACAGCAUUGAAUCAAUGCACUGACAGAAACUGGGACAAUACUGGUAUUUGAGGUAUUACAACUUGCAUGAUCGAGUUCUUAUGUCGGUAACAUCUAAUACAUUAAGAACUUCAUAUUUGCUGAUAUGCCAAAGACACGCUCUUUGUGGGGCUUUUUUUGGGACACUGAACUGGGUUGCUGUCUGGUGGUUUGUGGUUGACAGCAGGGCAAUGUGUCUUUUCAGGAUGGGAGAAUUUUCUGCCGGAGAACAGCCUGUGACUGCGAGAACCCCAGUGCUGAUCUCGUCUGCUGCCCAGUGUGUGGCACUCACAUCACCAGCCAGUGUCUCGACCAAAUGGGGCACAAGCUCUACCACAGUGGGGACAACUGGACCUACAGCUGUCAGCAGUGCUGUUGCCUGGAAGGAGAAGUGGACUGUUAGCCUCUUCUGUGCUUCAAUCUAAACUGCGAGUACGCAGCCAUUUCAGAAGGAGAGUGCUGUCCCCGCUGCAUUAGUGACCCCUGCCUGGCUGACAACAUCAUUUAUGACAUCAGGAAAACCUGUCUAGAUGGCUAUGGAAUUACAAGACUUAAUGGCGCCAUAUGGACCAUGGUGGGAUCUCCUUGUACAACCUGCAAAUGCAAAGUACGAUGGACAAGGUUGAAUGGUAAUGAAAAUGUUUGUUGCUACAUAAAAACAGGGUCAUUUUCUGCCCUUGGAAGCUCAUAUUCAGAUUUUCUGCCCUCAGGUCUGAUUCACUUUGCAGCAAAGUAGCAUACCAAAAACAACGUGUCUUAUGUGGUCUGCAGGGUGGAAACAGAACAAUCCGUGCUUGUUUUCUUAAAAAUGUUGAUCACAGCUAUGUAAUAUCCUAGCACAAUUUACAGACAUUCUGUUGGCAAGCCCUUCAGGCAUUUUUAGUAUGAAACUAGGCUAACAUUUUAAUAAUUAAUUCAU